rnacentral:rRNA from 1 species
CCCUUAGAUGUCCUGGGCCGCACGCGCGCUAAACUGAUGCAUGCAACGAGUUUAUAACCUUGGCCUGAAAGGUCUGGGUAAUCUUUUGAACGUGCAUCGUGAUAGGGAUAGAUUAUUGCAAUUGUUAAUCUUGAACGAGGAAUUCCUAGUAAACGCGAGUCAUCAGCUCGCAUUGAUUACGUCCCUGCCCUUUGUACACACCGCCCGUCGCACCUACCGAUUGAAUGGUUCGGUGAAGAUCUCGGACUUCGAUAUUUAUUCUUUAUUGAGUUUAUAUUGUGGGAAGUUAUCUAAACCUCAUCAUUUAGAGGAAGGUGAAGUCGUAACA